rnacentral:rRNA from 1 species
AUUGAACGCUGGCGGCAGGCCUAACACAUGCAAGUCGAGCGGAUGAGUGGAGCUUGCUCCAUGAUUCAGCGGCGGACGGGUGAGUAAUGCCUAGGAAUUUGCCUGGUAGUGGGGGACAACGUUUCGAAAGGAACGCUAAUACCGCAUACGUCCUACGGGAGAAAGCAGGGGACCUUCGGGCCUUGCGCUAUCAGAUGAGCCUAGGUCGGAUUAGCUAGUAGGUGAGGUAAUGGCUCACCUAGGCGACGAUCCGUAACUGGUCUGAGAGGAUGAUCAGUCACACUGGAACUGAGACACGGUCCAGACUCCUACGGGAGGCAGCAGUGGGGAAUAUUGGACAAUGGGCGAAAGCCUGAUCCAGCCAUGCCGCGUGUGUGAAGAAGGUCUUCGGAUUGUAAAGCACUUUAAGUUGGGAGGAAGGGUAGUAACCUAAUACGUUGCUACUUUGACGUUACCGACAGAAUAAGCACCGGCUAACUUCGUGCCAGCA